rnacentral:rRNA from 1 species
CAGCAGCCACGGGAAUACGAAGGGGGCUAGCGUUGUUCGGAUUUACUGGGCGUAAAGCGCACGUAGGCGGACUUUUAAGUCAGGGGUGAAAUCCCGGGGCUCAACCCCGGAACUGCCUUUGAUACUGGAAGUCUUGAGUAUGGUAGAGGUGAGUGGAAUUCCGAGUGUAGAGGUGAAAUUCGUAGAUAUUCGGAGGAACACCAGUGGCGAAGGCGGCUCACUGGACCAUUACUGACGCUGAGGUGCGAAAGCGUGGGGAGCAAACAGGAUUAGAUACCCCAGUAGUCCCUGUCUCUUAUAC